CUGUACGAAGGAAAAAAGAAAAAAGACAAAAAAAAAUUUCUUUAUCUCUCACGCUCAGAUCCCCUCUCUCAUUCACGGACCAUUCACUAUUCACCCAUCACUCACAAUUCCUCUUCACUCUCACCGAAAACCCUCCAAUCGUUCCAUCACCCCACGCUCACCUCCACCAGUCAAAACCCUUCAUCACCAUCAACCUUCCACCAACUGAAACGCACAAGCUCUUCGCGACGCUUUCGCCGGCGAAUCCGUUUCAAUCGUUUCCGUCACCGUCAAAACCUCACCCUCUUCAUCGCUUCCCACACAAAUCCUUCAAACCUCGCCGUCAAACCACAAGAAACCCCUUCCGUCGCGCUCUCACCGACAAACCCAUCCAAAACCCUUCAUCGCUCCGCCUUAACCCUCAAAACCCACACGAAGCUCAGCCGUUAACCCCCUCAACUCACCAAACGACAAACCCUUAUCACCGCCGGCAACCCGUGCUUCGCCUUCAACCGCGUAUCCUCCGCACCUCUUGUUCCAACUCUGUUCGGACAGCUGCGAGUUGGCAAGGCGUUUUAGAUUGUAAAACUGUUUGGUUUUAAUUCUUUUGUUUAUGCAGAUAAUGGUUUGGAAUGAAAGGCUAAAAAGCACCGGAUUCAUUUCACCAACUAUGGAGUUUCAAGUUUAACAAGCACUUCGAGACGUUGACGCCCUAUUUUUGCAUUCGAACUCAAAAAUUAAUGUCGGCAUUUUGAUUGCAUUACGCAUCGGCUUUACUGUAGAAGUUUAUUUCGAUUCCAUAUGUUUCAUGACAGAAUGUGUUUUGGAAUAAGUGUUGGAUUUAUGUCGACAUCGCGGUAAUCCUGUAAAAAAAUUAAGUUGUUCUUAUUAUGUUGGUAACUCUUACUGCUUUCUUUUUUCAGUAGAAACAUAUAAUGUGAUAGUACUACUUUCGGUAGUCUUUAAGUCAUUUUCAUUAUGUUGGAUACUUUGAAAAAAGCACAUAUUGCAGGAAGGCCUAUGUAUCUGUCAUGAAUGGACGAUUGGCAUAUCAAUUUUAGAGUUGUGAAUGACUUGGUUUUAGAAAUGCUUCUUCUUGGUUUAGUUA